ACUACGGGUGGCAGCAGUGGGGGAUAUUGCACAAUGGGGGGAACCCUGAUGCAGCGACGCCGCGUGGGUGAAGAAGCGCCUCGGCGCGUAAAGCCCUGUCAGCAGGGAAGAAAAUGACGGUACCUGAAGAAGAAGCCCCGGCUAACUACGUGCCAGCAGCCGCGGUAAUACGUAGGGGGCAAGCGUUAUCCGGAUUUACUGGGUGUAAAGGGGGCGCAGACGGCGAUGCAAGCCAGGAGUGAAAGCCCGGGGCCCAACCCCGGGACUGCUCUUGGAACUGCGUGGCUGGAGUGCAGGAGGGGCAGGCGGAAGUCCUGGUGUAGCGGUGAAAUGCGUAGAUAUCAGGAGGAACACCGGUGGCGAAGGCGGCCUGCUGGACUGCAACUGACGUUGAGGCCCGAAAGCGUGGGGAGCAAACAGGAUUAGAUACCCCUGUAGUC
rnacentral:rRNA from 1 species